CUCCUCGUGACUCCUGCUGGAAAUGUCACUGGAGCCCUGCGUCACCCUCGGCUGCCACCAAAACACUGGAGGUACUGCUUAUCUAAAAUUGCUGACCUCACCACCAUGUCCAACUGCCCCUUUUACAGCAUCCAUGAAAACACUGACCCUUCCUAUGCUGGUCAACAGCCUCUCUGGAGCCAGCCAGGGACAGGUUUCUCUGGCUGAAGUGUGGGAAGGCAAGCUCUGAGCUUGGAGGUCACAGCACUGCAGCAGCCGUGGUAACACCAAAUCUGCUGUAUUUUGCUUUUAUCAGUUAUCCUCUCCAUCUAUCCCAUGGUUCCAUUUGACAUCAGAUAGGGGAAAUUGAAAUUCUUCAAUUUUUUUUCCAGGUAAAUGUUUUCUUAUAGUUAAAACUGUGGGAAAUAGAUCCACAAAAAUGCUGUUUGUCUCAGCUGUGCCUGGCUUGGACUUGUUUUGCCUCUGUAAAGGUGCUGGCAGUAAAUGCCCAGGACUCAAGCCUCACAUUUACCUAAUUAUGGGCAUGUGGUCCCUGUACAAUGAGGAGAGGGCCGAUGCCUUGAGCCUCAGAGAACGUAUUUAAUUCAAAACCUUCAUUAGAAAAGCCUGGAUUUUCUUUGAUUUUACAGGUUCCAUUUUCCUCCCUUUUGGAGGUGGUGGUUGAGGGACUCAGCCUUCCCUGAGCCUUUUCACACUGUCAGGAUCACUGCGGGGGUUCCAUUUAACGAGGUUCAGGGCUGAUCAGGACAAGAAAGGUGUGAGCAUUGAGGGGUUUUUUCUUUAACUACCUACCAAGCGCUAUAUUCCUUCCCUCUAAAAACCUCGUAAUUAAAAUAGGACUUGUAUGAUGUAUUUUUUGUGCGCUUGGUUAAAAUCAAAGCUGGUCAGCUACAAACUAAAAAAAAAAUUUAAAAAAGCACCAAAAAGCUCUUAAUGUAACUCCAGUUAUGGAAGGGAUGCAGUAGCAAUCCACACAGUCCAGAAUCUAUUUUCAUCCUUAUUCCACAUGCACAUCACUGUCUGUCUACGUUACAGAAUAAUGCAGUGUUCGUAUUACAGACCAAAUAGUUUGGGUUUACACAGAGAGUGCAGCAUGCAGCUGUGGAAGUUAAAAUAGCCAUGAGGAUGCUCCACGUUCCCCAGUGCAUAGCUCACAUUCUGGAUCCUGCACAGCAGAUAGCAGGAGCAGCAGAGCUGAGGAGAAGGUUUGGAUAUAAUUUAGAAAAAACAAGGGUUUUUAUAAAUCGCCCCAAAAAAUAUUCAGCUAAGGAGGGGGAAAACAUAGCAAUUGCAGAAUUAUAAAGUACCAGAAAGAAGAGGCUGAGGUUUAACCCAUAAAAAUAAUGUUUCCUUCCUGGGAAAUGCUGCUCUGCUAGGUCUGGGCUAAAACUAGCAGCCACCUCUUAAAGUUUGAGUGUUUGGUUGAGAUCUGUAACUUCACCUGUGAGGCAUCUCCCUGCUUUACAGCAGGGAAA